rnacentral:rRNA from 1 species
GAUGAACGCUGGCGGCGUGCUUAACACAUGCAAGUCAUGGGGCCCGAACGCGCAAGCUUGGGGCAACCGGCGAACGGGUGCGUAACACGUGAGCAACCUACCCAGGUGUGGGGGAUAGCCGUCCCAACGGACGGGUAAUACCGCAUACGCUCGACACGAGGCAUUUCGAGUCGAGGAAACCUUCGGGGCACCAUGAGGGGCUCGCGGCCUAUCAGCUAGUUGGCGAGGUAACGGCUCACCAAGGCUACGACGGGUAGCUGGUCUGAGAGGAUGACCAGCCACAUUGGGACUGAG